rnacentral:rRNA from 1 species
CAGCAGCCGCGGUAAUACGUAGGUGGCAAGCGUUGUCCGGAAUUAUUGGGCGUAAAGGGCUCGCAGGCGGUUUCUUAAGUCUGAUGUGAAAGCCCCCGGCUCAACCGGGGAGGGUCAUUGGAAACUGGGAAACUUGAGUGCAGAAGAGGAGAGUGGAAUUCCACGUGUAGCGGUGAAAUGCGUAGAGAUGUGGAGGAACACCAGUGGCGAAGGCGACUCUCUGGUCUGUAACUGACGCUGAGGAGCGAAAGCGUGGGAGCGAACAGGAUUAGAUACCCCGGUAGUCCCUGUCUCUUAUACC